AGAAAGCAUCCGCGUCGCCUCCUCCCAAAACCCAAAUCGAACUCGCGGCGAUCUCUCGUCUUCCGAAGCCAACAGUCCUCUCGCUCUCGCGCCCCCGCCACAGUUUGUAGCACGGCUGGCAGCAGCAGGGUGCCUCGCCUCGCCGGGAGCUGGAAACAAGCACUGUAUGAUCUUUUUUCGCCACUGAGCUGUGCCUCCAACGUGUUUGCGUGAAUGCGCAGGCGGACGCGCUUGCUUUCUUCCACGCACUAGAUCUUGUGAAUUUCCCGUCUCCAUCUGAUUUCGAGAUUCGCCGCUGACCAUGGCUGACGCCUCCGCCGGCGGCUCCCUGGACGACUACCCAACCAUCGACCCAACCUCUUUUGACGUGGUCCUCUGCGGCACCGGCCUCCCAGAGUCCAUCCUCGCCGCUGCCUGCGCGGCCGCCGGGAAGACCGUCCUCCACGUCGACCCCAACCCUUUCUACGGCUCCUUCUACUCCUCCAUGCCGCUCCCUUCCGUCCCCUCCUUCCUCUCCCCCGACUCCUCCACCCCCUGCCCAUCCUCCUCAACCACAGCCUCCUCGCCCGCCACCGCUGCAUACACCGCCGUCGAUCUCGAGCGCCGCAGUUUGUACUCGGAGGUUGAGACCUCGGGGACGGUUCCCGAACAGUCCAGGCGUUUCACGGUCGACCUGGUGGGUCCCAGGCUUCUGUACUGCGCCGACGAGGCCGUGGACCUUCUUCUGAGGUCUGGGGGAAGCCACCAUGUGGAGUUCAAGAGCGUGGAAGGGGGCAGCCUCAUCUACUGGGAUGGUGCGCUCUGCCCGGUGCCAGACUCUAGGCAGGCCAUCUUCAUGGACAGCACACAUCGGUCUAAGGAGAAGCUUAAUCUUAGGGAUAAUCUUAAGGAGAAGACCCUCUUGUUCAGAUUCUUCAAGCUUGUCCAGUCACACAUAGCCGCAUCGUCUUCUGCCGAUAAGGAUGGGGAGGGCGAAGCCUCUGGUAAGAUAUCCGAGGAGGACUUGGACCUCCCCUUCAUCGAAUUCCUCAAGAAACAGCAGCUUCAACCCAAGAUUAGAGCGGUUGUGCUAUAUGCAAUAGCUAUGGCAGAUUAUGAUCAAGAUGCUGCAGACUCAUGUGAGAAAUUGCUAACAACGAGAGAUGGAAUCAAGACCCUAGCUCUUUAUUCCUCGUCCAUUGGGAGGUUUGCUAAUGCCCAAGGUGCUUUCAUUUAUCCUAUGUAUGGGCAUGGCGAGCUACCACAAGCUUUCUGUCGCUUUGCUGCUGUUAAGGGUGCCCUAUAUGUGUUGCGGAUGCCAGUCACAGCCCUUCUUGUGGACCAGGAAAAGAAGCGUUAUAUAGGCACCAGAUUGGCUUCUGGUCAGGAUAUUUUGUGCCAGCAGUUGAUACUUGGUCCCUCAUACAAAAUUCCUUCAUUGGACAUGUCUUCUGGUACUUCAGACUCAAACUUGACGAGAAAAGUUGCCAGGGGAGUAUGCAUAAUCAGCAGCUCCAUAAAACAGGCUUCAUCAAACGUUCUGGUUGUUUUCCCCCCAAAAUCAUUACAAGAGCAGCAAGCUACAGCUGUUCGGGCGCUUCAGCUGAGCAGCAAUGUAGCAGUAUGCCCUCCUGGAAUGUUCAUGGUAUAUCUGUCUACUCCCUGUACCGAUGCCUUUACGGGAAAGCAGUACAUAAACAAGGCAAUGGAGGUUCUUUUCAGUACCCAGGCUUCAGAUGAUUCAGAAGGCCAUUUGGAGACAACCAGCAGAAACAUUGAGGAUACAAAGCCAGCGCUAAUCUGGAGUUAUGUGUAUGUUCAAGAGAUCACACAGGGAACAUCUGGUACUGUAUUGUCCUGCCCUAUGCCUGAUGAAAACCUGGACUACAGAGAUAUACUGGAAUCGACAAAACAGUUAUUCACCGAUACUUAUCCUAACGAAGAAUUCCUGCCUAGAAACGCAGCUCCUAAAUAUGCCGAUGAUGACUCUGAUCUUGCAGAGUAGAAACAUGUUUGCAGAGGUUAACAAAAGAAAUGCCGGCAAAGCUCUCGAAAAUGUUUUAAUGGAAAACCAGAAGCUGUUGAAGCAUCUACUUACAUAUGGGCAACAUUCUCUCUGGAAAGACAAUGUACGAUGAUAGAUGGUGCAACAUGGCUUUCUUAUGAGGUUCACUUGCUCCGGUAAUUCCCAGUUUGGAUCGUUCAAGGGUUAGUGUUUUUCUGGACAAAUUCUCGCAGAAGAUACAUGGAGGCAUUUUAGAUACAUCGCACCAACCUGGCUGAUCUGCUCAGCGAGUGGGACUAUAGACAGCAUCGAUUGUUUGUAUGGCUUGUUGCAGUACUUGUUGUUACUGCACAAGCUACAUGUGGCGCCUUUCAUUUGUUGCACUCAUUCUUUGUAUGAGUGAAACAGAUUAGUGAAAUUGAGUUUAAACUCCUUGGAUGAAUUUCUCUUCUGGCUACUAGCAAAUCCAGAAACUAUUUUACCAUGUUAUCACCCGCAAACUAUUUUUAUCGUUUUCUAGCAAACUCCUUUAUGAGUAAAAAAACGUCAAUUGAGGUA